rnacentral:rRNA from 1 species
UACGUAGGGGGCUAGCGUUGUCCGGAAUCACUGGGCGUAAAGCGUACGUAGGCGGCUUUUUAAGUCAGGGGUGAAAUCCUGGAGCUCAACUCCAGAACUGCCUUUGAUACUGAGAAGCUUGAGUCCGGGAGAGGUGAGUGGAACUGCGAGUGUAGAGGUGAAAUUCGUAGAUAUUCGCAAGAACACCAGUGGCGAAGGCGGCUCACUGGCCCGGUACUGACGCUGAGGUGCGAAAGCGUGGGGAGCAAACAGG